AAUGUUGUGUCUACAUUGUUGAAUGAUAGUUCAAAUAAAUGUAAAGACAAUCUAAAAGCACGAAAAGAUUUACAACUUUGGGGUAAUAGACCUGAUCUUUGGCCUAAUGAGAAUGGUAGAUAUCUCCCUGCUAUAUAUACAUUGACAAAUGCAAAUAAAGAUAUCUUUCUCAAAACUUUGAAGAACAUAACAGUUCCAGAUGGCUAUUCUAGUAACAUUAGUAGAUGCAUUGAUGUCAAACAACGUAAGCUUGGAGGAUUAAAAAGUCAAGACUCACAUGUUUUGAUGGAGCAAAUUCUUACUUUUUGUGUUUUAGAUAAGGAAUGAAUAAUUUGAUAUCCAUUCAGAUGAUUUAAAGUUCUUGGCCAUGGGUCCUAUUGAUUGUGCAAAGCGAUAUAGUGCCUAUAAUGUUAAUGGGUUCAAAUUUCGUAUAUUGGAGUUUGAUCUAUGGCUUAAAACACAAAACAGUGAAGUGUUUGGUACAUUUGGGACAAGGAGUUAUACAAGUAGUAGUGAAAUUCAAAUGCAGUUUGGACGUGUGUUGUAUUAUGGUCGAUUGGUAGACAUAAUUGAGAUAAACUACCAUGGUCGAUUCUCAAUUGUUUUAUUCAAAUGUAACUGGGCUAAUACAACUACUUCUAGAGGGAUUAUGAAUGAUGAGUAUGGAUUUACAUUAGUAAGUUUUGCACGCUUAAUCCAUACCGAUGAUAAUGAUGAUGACGAGCCAUACAUUAAGGCGUCAGAAGCUCAAAUGGUGUAUUAUGUAGACGAUGAGUUGGAUAAAAAUUUGUGCAUACCUGUACAUGUAAAGCCUAGAGACUUAUACAACAUGGGUGGAGAUGAUGUUGACAAUUUUCAUGAAUGUGAGCCAUUUGAACAACAAAACCUAGAAAUAUUAUUUUCUAAUGAGGAUGGAAAUAUACAACUAACAAGACCACCGGAAGAUGAAGAAAAUGUCAACCAAUAAAUCUUCUACAUGAGGACUUGUAGUUACACCUGCAGGUUAUCAUCAAUAUCAUUCAGGAGACUUGAAGAUGAACUUUUCAACCUCAAAUAAGUCUAAGUCAAAAGCUGAAGUGAGUAUUCAUUCUUAACUGCCUAGUACUCAACCUCCAAGACUUGAAGUACAAAUUCCAACCCCAAUUACACCUCAAGUAAAUAUUCAACAAGGUCCUACAUUUUUAUUUUCCCCUCCACUUCCAUCUGCAUCUCAAGCAAGUAUUCAACAAGGUCCUAAAUAUGCUUGCCCUCCACCUCCAUCUGCACCUCAGCCAAGAACCUUGAAAGUGAGGAUAUCUUCAACUAGCCAGCCCCCAAUUGUGCCUCAAUCUAAUUCUCAGCCACCAUAUCAAUCAUUUCAUGUAUCUGAACCAACAAUACCAACUACAUCACAUUCAUAUUCUGAAAUUGAAGAGGAAGAAAAUGAGGAGACUAAGUUGCAAGUAGAUGAACAAAGGCCUGCAACCCGAAAAAGAGCAUGGUUUGUUAAUGUUAUUGAUGAUCAAGGAAAGAGAAUUACAAAACAACUAUGAACCAAUGAUGUGUGGCAUUUUUCUCCUAAUGAAAGGAUUGUUGUGCAGUGGAAUAAUGAGGGUCAACCAAUUGCAGAUGGUGGAGCAUUAUUGAAUAGGUUCUUAGGUAGCAUUGCAAGAAACUCUAAUUCUCUUCCUAUUAGUUAUUCUAGUUGGAAGAAGAUUCCUAAAGAUUAUAAAGAAGACGUACUUAAGAAUACUAUUCUGGCUAAGUUUGAUGUCCAUUCCGAUGUUCAUAUAAGCCACAUCCUCAAAUCACUUAACAUAAAGUGGAGAGACCACCGAUAGGAAUUGUGGCAACUUACAAAUGAUGGAACACGUACUAGAGAUGAAUUGAUCGCAAUGGUUCCAGCAGGAAUAGAUAGAGAUCAUUGGGCUUCUUUUGUGGAUUAUCGACUAAAUUCAAAAACAAAGGAGCAUGCUUUGAAAAAUAAACAUAAUAGGGCAAAGCAAACCAUUGCUCACACAUGUGGAUCUAAGAGCAUUGCAAGGAAAAGAGAUGAAAUGGAAAAAGAGUGUGGCCACAGGUUAGUAGAGGAGAGGUAUGGAUUGCAACACAUAAACAUGCUAAUGGAGCCUUUGUGAGUGAUGAAGCGAGGGAAAUCGGUGAAAAAACUUCAAGUAUAUGAAUCAACAUCAUCAUCAUCUGUAUCAAAAGAAAUAUCAAGUACUGAUUCCUUAGCUUUUGCUUUCGGAAGCCAAGAACACUGUGGACGUGUUAGGGGUUUGGGUUUGGAUCCUUGCCCAUCUAAAGUGUUUAGCUCCAAAGGUCAUUCAUAUAAUGAAACAUCUUCAAGUUAUCCUUCUAAUGCUCAAUUACAAAAUCAGGUUUCUACAUUGACAUCCCAACUCAAUGAAAUGAAGGCAAUGGUUAAUUUUUUGGUACAAAAUUAUCAAGGAGAGUUGCCUCGUCAUUUUACUAUGCAUCAUGCACCAACGGUAUCUGAUCAAGGAAGUGUUCCUAACGAAGAAACAAAUGAUCAACAUCCAACAUCGCAUUAGAUGAUAUUUUUCGUUUACUUUUGGAAUUUGUCAACAAAUAUGAUUCUAGGAAACUUUUGGUUAAUUUUUGUUUAUUGUAGGUAGAUAGUGCACUGCUUAUUAUGUCACUGUCAUUCAAAUGCUACUACUCCAACACUUAUUAUGUUAAGAGCAUUAUGACUGCUAGUCCACUAUUGGUACCAUUUGAA